rnacentral:rRNA from 1 species
UACGUAGGAGGCAAGCGUUGCCCGGAAUUAUUGGGCGUAAAGCGCGCGCAGGCGGCCGUGUGCGGUCCCGCGUGGAAUCUCCCGGCUCAACCGGGAGGGGCCGUGGGAGACGGCGCGGCUGGAGUGGGGGAGGGGAGAGCGGAAUUCCCGGUGUAGUGGUGGAAUGCGUAGAGAUCGGGAGGAACACCCGUGGCGAAGGCGGCUCUCUGGACCCUGACUGACGCUGAGGCGCGAAAGCGUGGGGAGCGAUCCGG